rnacentral:rRNA from 1 species
UACGUAGGGCGCAAGCGUUAUCCGGAAUUAUUGGGCGUAAAGAGCUCGUAGGCGGUUUGUCGCGUCUGCCGUGAAAGUCCGGGGCUCAACUCCGGAUCUGCGGUGGGUACGGGCAGACUAGAGUGAUGUAGGGGAGACUGGAAUUCCUGGUGUAGCGGUGAAAUGCGCAGAUAUCAGGAGGAGCACCGGUGGCGAAGGCGGGUCUCUGGGCCGAUACUGACGCUGAGGAGCGAAAGCGUGGGGAGCAAACAGG